GGAUGUGAGGGACAUCUGUCACCCCAUUGAUCUUCAGGGUUGAUUUAGCUGAUCUGGCUGGCUAGGCAGGUGUUCCCUGCCUCCCUCACUGCUCUGUGUUCAUCCCUCCCAAAGUUGUGUGCUCCAUCAAAGAGAAGGACUUUUCCCGCUAGAGGAGGACCAGUCAUUAGUCAAGGGUAUAAGACUAGCUGAGGGCCCUUGCUAAACCUUCAAGAAAACUCUCAUUCAUUUCUUUAUGUUAGCCUAACCCUGAUGCCAAAAUAACCUGAAAUAUAAAAAU
rnacentral:snRNA from 1 species